UUGCUUAAUAUACAAAUUUAAUAAAAUUGGAUCAAUAUUGAGAAGAUUAUCAUCAUUCCCCUAUACAGGGAUGACAUACAAAAACAUGAAGUAUUCUACUUUAAA
rfam:Cavia porcellus supercont2_60 genomic scaffold, whole genome shotgun sequence.